CUACGGGGCGCAGCAGUGGGGAAUAUUGGGCAAUGGGCGCAAGCCUGACCCAGCAACGCCGCGUGAGGGAAGAAGGUUUUCGGAUUGUAAACCUCUGUCCUUGGGGACGAAGAAUUGACGGUACCCAAGGAGGAAGCUCCGGCUAACUACGUGCCAGCAGCCGCGGUAAUACGUAGGGAGCAAGCGUUGUCCGGAAUUACUGGGCGUAAAGGGUGCGUAGGCGGCAUAUUAAGUCAGGUGUGAAAUACUCGGGCUCAACCCGGGGGCUGCAUUUGAAACUGAUAUGCUUGAGUGUGAGAGAGGAAAGUGGAAUUCCUAGUGUAGCGGUGGAAUGCGUAGAUAUUAGGAGGAACACCAGUGGCGAAGGCGACUUUCUGGCUCAUAACUGACGCUGAGGCACGAAAGCGUGGGGAGCAAACAGGAUUAGAUACCCCCGUAGUC
rnacentral:rRNA from 1 species